rnacentral:rRNA from 1 species
CCUACGGGUGGCAGCAGUGAGGAAUAUUGGUCAAUGGACGAGAGUCUGAACCAGCCAAGUAGCGUGAAGGAUGACUGCCCUAUGGGUUGUAAACUUCUUUUAUAUGGGAAUAAAAUGUUCCACGUGUGGGAUUUUGUAUGUAACAUAUGAAUAAGGAUCGGCUAACUCCGUGCCAGCAGCCGCGGUAAUACGGAGGAUCCGAGCGUUAUCCGGAUUUAUUGGGUUUAAAGGGAGCGUAGGUGGAUUGUUAAGUCAGUUGUGAAAGUUUGCGGCUCAACCGUAAAAUUGCAGUUGAAACUGGCAGUCUUGAGUACAGUAGAGGUGGGCGGAAGUCGUGGUGUAGCGGUGAAAUGCUUAGAUAUCACGAAGAACUCCGAUUGCGAAGGCAGUUCACUGGACUGCAACUGACACUGAGGCUCGAAAGUGUGGGUAUCAAACAGGAUUAGAUACCCCUGUAGUC